AUUGAACGCUGGCGGCAGGCCUAACACAUGCAAGUCGAGCGAGCGGCGGACGGGUGAGUAAUGUAUGGGGACUGCCCGAUAGAGGGGGAUAACUACUGGGAACGGUGGCUAAUACCGCAUACUAUCGGAUAACCCAUAUGGGAUUAGCUAGUAGUUGGGGUAAAGGCUCACCUAGGCGACGAUCUCUAGCUGGUCUGAGAGGAUGAUAGGCCCAACGGGGAGUGAGACACGGCCCAGACUCCUACGGAGGCAGCAGUGGGAAAUAUUGCACAAUGGGCGCAAGACUGAUGCAGCCAUGCCGCAUGUAUGAAGAAGGCCUUAGGGUUGUAAAGUACUUUCAGCGGGGAGGCGUUACCCGCAGAAGAAGCACCGGCUAACUCCGUGCCAGCAGCCGCGGUAAUUC
rnacentral:rRNA from 1 species